GCACAAUGGGGGAAACCCUGAUGCAGCAACGCCGCGUGAGCGAUGAAGGCCUUCGGGUUGUAAAGCUCUGUCUUCGAGGGACGAUAAUGACGGUACCUGAGGAGGAAGCCACGGCUAACUACGUGCCAGCAGCCGCGGUAAUACGUAGGUGGCAAGCGUUGUCCGGAAUUAUUGGGCGUAAAGGAUGCGUAGGCGGCCUUUUAAGUGGGAUGUGAAAUACCCGGGCUUAACCCGGGAAUGGCAUUCCAAACUGGAAGGCUAGAGUGCAGGAGAGGAAAGUGGAAUUCCCAGUGUAGCGGUGAAAUGCGUAGAGAUUGGGAGGAACACCAGUGGCGAAGGCGACUUUCUGGACUGUAACUGACGCUGAGGCAUGAAAGCGUGGGGAGCAAACAGGAUUAGAUACCCUGGUAGUCCACGCCGUAAACGAUGAGUACUAGGUGUAGGGGAGCCAUUCUCUGUGCCGCAGUUAACACAUUAAGUACUCCGCCUGGGAAGUACGGUCGCAAGACUA
rnacentral:rRNA from 1 species